UUCGCGUCGUCGUCUUCGUAAUAAGCCUUUCUUUGCCUCUUUAGCUUCUCCCUCCUCCUCUCGAUCUAGGGUUUCUUAUCACUUCUUCUCGCUUGUUGAUUCGUCUUCCGCCAUCGUCGUGUUCGUGAAUCAUGAAGCUCGACGCGAGUGGUCUCCAAUACUCCCCUUCGGUCACCGGAGGCGGCGUCGACGGUCUCGGCGAGGACCUCUUCGCAGCCCCUUCGUUCCAACUCCCGGAUUCCUUUGAUAUGGUGAAGCCUGCGAAGGGGACGACCACGCUGGCUUUCAUCUUAAAGAAUGGCGUCAUUGUGGCCGCCGAUUCUCGAGCUGGCAUGGGAGGAUAUAUCCGUAAGCAUUUAAUACUCCAUGUCAUUGGGAGAUUAUGCUAGAGCUGUUUGCAUCUUGUGUGUGCUUCUGGUUGCUUGAUGAUUAACUAUUAAGCAAACAAGAAACUCGUGAUAUUUGACACAGUGGAGAUUAACUUAGCGUGGAGAUCUUCAUUAUCUGAUAGUUCACCUAGUAUUGUAUUAAGGAUCAACUUGUGAUGUAUGUCCACAAUUGCGUUUGAUAAAAACUUCGAAACUAGUUUGAUCUUCUUAGACAGAUAUUUCUUGUUAAAGUUUUGACGAAGCAAGUGGAGUUAUUUGCUUUUACUUUUUCUCCUUUCUUAAUCACAAAGGGAUUAUAGCAUUAUUGUUAUUAUGUGAACUUAAAUGAGCAUAGAGUGACUCAAGGAAAAUUAGCUGACAUAUUCAUUUUUGAGAAAGCAAAUGAAACUGAGGUUAAGAUAUGAGUUCUUUCUGUAUGCUAAUCACGAUAAUAUUGGCAUGGUUGACACAGAACUAAGAUACAAAUGACAUCAUACUGAUGCAUAUUCGCAGAGUUCAGUGUUUUCAAAAGGUGUUUGGCCGUUGACCUAGAGGCUCAGGCAAGGUGAGGUGAGUCUUGAGCACCUUGCAAAACCUUGGGGCGAGGCAUUGCAACGAAGCACUGCUCAGGUGCUCACCUGAGUCCAAGCGCCGAGCACUUGAGCUUAUGGUUCGAUUGAACGAGUAAGUUAGUUCAAUCAAACCAACUAAUGUACCCUUACACCUCCCCCAAUCCCGUGCCCAACCCAGUGAAAGCAAAACCCUAUGUCCGUUGCUACAGCUUCAUCUACCGUUGUUCGCCACUGCAGCUUCGGCCAUCGCCUUCUCCUUCCCCUACCUUCCUCCACAGCCGUCAGUUACUUCUCUUCUCAAUUCAUUCUCUCUCAUUUCAAUUAACUUGCUGCACCAUAUUGAGAUGGUGCUUACUCACUUUGUUAGGAGUUAACCCUAUUUAGUAUCAUAUUGAAAAUACUAUUUAGCAUAAGUCUCCGUCAGUAGAACCUUUGUUUAGCAUAUCAGUUUUAUUUGAUAUGCCAUUUUUAUUUUUAUGAUCAUAUUUAUCAAUCAUACUAUAUUUUUAAUUUUAAUAUUCUAGAGUGCCUCGCUUAGUUCGCCUUGCACCUUGGUUGUUUUGUAACCUUGGCGCAUAGCGCUUUUAAAAACAAUAGCAGAGUUACACUACUGCCACAAUUUUCACCAAUACCAUAAAUUUUAGCCAGAAUUGCAGAACUAUGAUUGAUUGAGAUAGACUCAUCUAAAUCUGCCAAACUAGUAGGUAAAUCAGUAUACAACAUUCAUUGACUCUCUAGCACCUUCUUGAUUUAUUGUUCUACAUCAUCUGUUAAAUAUUCUGCAUCGGUUCCUGUAUCUCUGUCCAUAACAAGAAUUAUUGCAAGCCCAUGAAUAUAGAAAGAGCUUGAUUCUCAAACUCUUGGCAUUUGAAUGACUCUUCAAUGACUAAGAAAUGAUUUAAAAGUUUGCAAUUCUAUUAAGGAUGGUGGUGCUGGUAAUGUGGAGCCUCACACUAGCAAACAACAAGAAGUUUCUAUCCUCAAACAAAUGCUUAUUGCCAGUAAUACAGUCUCAGCAGUAACACUUGUAUUGUUGUUCCAAACAAAUUCACUUCCGCUAGGUGUCUACGAUAGCUAAGUAUUGCUUCUUCAGCUGCUUAUUGCUUUUGCACAACCAGGAAGUAUCUCAUGCAUCCACAUCUUGAAACUGUUUUGCACAGCCAGGUUUGAACAUUGCAUUGUCAUCUUUUCAAUUUCCACAAUUUGCAGUAUCCAUAGGGUACACCAACUUAAUAUCUUCCUUCCAAAUGUGAACUGGAUUUUGUUCUGCUUUCACAUAAUGCCGGGAUAUAUGAAAAGGCACACAUAAACCAAGAUAGUGACUCUGGUACUUAUCACUCCCAUGAUAUCUUUCAUCAUCAACUUCUCUGUGUUAAGAAAAUCAUCUAGAUCAAUCCAUAUAUGCUCGGUACAAUGGCUGGUGGUGCUGCAGAUUGCCAAUUCUGGCACAGGAACUUGGGCAUCAAGUUAUAGCUGUGCUUUUACUCAUCCAUGCAUAUUUGUGUGCAUUGUCCAUUAGUUGAUCUGUUUAAUUUAGUGGAAUUCCCACCUUAGUUAUGCUAUCAUUUGCUUAUGGAAUAUUUUACUAGUUAUCAGUUUCAUCCUAUACAGUACUGCCUACAAUAACUGGCAAACAAGAGAUGGAUCUCAGUCACUAGUGCUUCAAAGCUAUUAGCAAACAUGCAUUACUCUUACUGUGGAACGGGCCUUUCGGUAGGGACCAUGAUUGCUGGAUGGGAUGAAAUGGUAUACUCAAGUUCCAAAUCAGUCCUUUUCUUCAGCUGUUUGACCUGGUCUCUUUCGUCUUGGGAACCUGGAUUGUAUUAUGUUGACAGUGAAGGUGGAAGUCUCAAGGUAACACACUUUUCAGUCGGGUCAGGAAGUCCAUGAGCUUAUGGUGUUCUGGAUAGCGGUUAUCACUAUGACACGACACUUGAGGAAGCUGCUGAACUGGCAUGUCGAGCCAUCUACCAUGCAACAUUUCAUGAUGGAGCUAGUGUUUUUCAUGUCGGGCCUGAUGGUCGGAAGAAGCUUUCUGGAGAUGAUGUUAGUGAGCUUCACUGCAAGUAUUAUCCUGUCGUCCCAACGUCUGUUGAGCAAGAAAUGGCUGAAGCUCCAGCAGCCUGAGAGACCAGCCUUAUUGAUGUUUGUGUAUCAUCGAGAUUAUGAUUGACCACUUCCGUCGGGGUAUAUUGCAGACGAGGCAACUUGAUGUAAGCCACGUUCUGCUAUCCGUAUAACUUAUUUGCAUCGUAACGACAAUUCUGUGCCCAAAAUGAAGGGCCAUCAGGUAGUGUUCGAAAGUCGCAUCUGCCAAUAUUAUCAAUGUUGAUGUGACCACCAAUUACUAUGUUUCCAAUAGCAAUAUAAUAUACGUCAUGUCCUUUAUUCAUCCCAUCGAUCUGUCGCUCAUGCCCCACGUCCUUCUUCUACUCCAAUUUACUCUCGUUCGUUGCUCCACCGGCAAAGGAUGACAUCCACCACAAUGGAUCGCUCAUGAUGUCCCGUGUAGAGUGUGUCCAGCUAACAAAACAACCUUGGCAGCCAACAAAGCACGAACAUGUUCGUCCACGUCCAAACGCUUCUUCUCUAAUCCCAAAAAGACGC